rnacentral:rRNA from 1 species
UACGUAGGGUGCAAGCGUUAUCCGGAUUUACUGGGCGUAAAGGGAGCGUAGGCGGACUUUUAAGUGAGAUGUGAAAUACCCGGGCUCAACUUGGGUGCUGCAUUUCAAACUGGAAGUCUAGAGUGCAGGAGAGGAGAAUGGAAUUCCUAGUGUAGCGGUGAAAUGCGUAGACAUCGGGAGGAACACCAGUGGUGAAGACGGCUUUCUGGUCUGUUGCUGACGCUGAGGAGCGAAAGCCAGGGGAGCGAACCGGAUUAGAUACCCGUGUAGU